AGUGAACGCUGGCGGCGUGCCUAAUACAUGCAAGUCGAACGAAGUGGCGCACGGGUGAGUAAUAUAUAGUUAAUCUGCUCUACACAGAGGAACAACAGUUGGAAACGACUGCUAAUACCUCAUAGUGUAGGAUGAGACUAUAUCGUAUCAGCUAGUUGGGAAUGUAAUGGCUUACCAAGUCUAUGACGCGUAACUGGUCGGAGAGGAUGAUCAGUCACAUUGGAACGGAGACACCGUCCGAACUCCUACGGGAAGCGGCAGUAAGGAGUAUUGCGCAAGGGGGGUAACCCUCGCGCAGCAACGCCUCGUGGAGGAUGACACUUUUCGGGGCGUAAACUACUUUUAUCAGGAAAGCGGUACCUGAUGAAUAAGCACCGGCUAACUCCGUGCCAGCAGCCGCGGUAAUAC
rnacentral:rRNA from 1 species